rnacentral:rRNA from 1 species
UGGGGAAUAUUGCACAAUGGGGGAAACCCUGAUGCAGCGACGCCGCGUGAGCGAUGAAGUAUUUCGGUAUGUAAAGCUCUAUCAGCAGGGAAGAAAAUGACGGUACCUGACUAAGAAGCCCCGGCUAACUACAUGCC